rnacentral:rRNA from 1 species
UUAGAGUUUGAUCCUGGCUCAAGAUGACCUCUGGCGGCGUGCUUAACACAUGCAAGUCGAGCGAAGCACUUGAGUUUGAUUCUUCGGAUGAAGACUUUUGUGACUGAGCGGCGGACGGGUGAGUAACGCGUGGCUAACCUGCCUCAUACGGGGGGAUAACAGUUAGAAAUGACUGCUAACCCCGCAUAAGACCACGGUACCGCAUGGUACAGUGGUACACCCUCCGGUGGUAUGAGAUGGACCCCCCUCUGAUUACGUAGUUGGUGGGGUAACCGCCUACCAAGCCGACGAUCAGUAGCCGACCUGAGAGGGUGACCCGCCACAUUGGGACUGACACCCGGCCCACACUCCUGCGGGAGGCAGCAGUUGGGGAUUAUUUCACAAUGGAGGAAACUCUGAUGCAGGGAGGCCGAGUGAAAGAUGAAGUAUUUCGGUAUGUAAACUUCUAUCAGCAGGGAAGAAAAAUGACGGUACGUGAUUAAGAAGCCCCGGCUAACUACGUGCCAGCAGCCGCGGUAAUACGUAGGGGGCAAGCGUUAUCCGGAUUUACUGGGUGUAAAGGGAGCGUAGACGGCACGGCAAGCCAGAUGUGAAAGCCCGGGGCUCAACCCCGGGACUGCAUUUGGAACUGCUGAGCUAGAGUGUCGGAGAGGCAAGUGGAAUUCCUAGUGUAGCGGUGAAAUGCGUAGAUAUUAGGAGGAACACCAGUGGCGAAGGCGGCUUGCUGGACGAUGACUGACGUUGAGGCUCGAAAGCGUGGGGAGCAAACAGGAUUAGAUACCCUGGUAGUCCACGCCGUAAAACGAAGAAUUGUUGGGUGUCGGGUGGCAAAGCCAUUCGGUGCCCGCAGUUAACGCAAUAAGCAGUCCCACCUGGGGAGUACGUUCGCAAGAAUGAAACUCAAAGGAAUUGACGGGGACCCGCACAAGCGGUGGAGCAUGUGGUUUAAUUGGAAGCAACGCGAAGAACCUUACCUGAUCUUGACAUCCCGAUGACCGCUUCGUAAUGGAAGUUUUUCUUCGGAACAUCGGUGACAGGUGGUGCAUGGUUGUCGUCAGCUCGUGUCGUGAGAUGUUGGGUUAAGUCCCGCAACGAGCGCAACCCCUAUCUUCAGUAGCCAGCAGGUUAAGCUGGGCACUCUGGAGAGACUGCCAGGGAUAACCUGGAGGAAGGUGGGGAUGACGUCAAAUCAUCAUGCCCCUUAUGACCAGGGCUACACACGUGCUACAAUGGCGUAAACAAAGAGAAGCGAACUCGCGAGGGUAAGCAAAUCUCAAAAAUAACGUCUCAGUUCGGAUUGUAGUCUGCAACUCGACUACAUGAAGCUGGAAUCGCUAGUAAUCGCGGAUCAGAAUGCUGCGGUGAAUACGUUCCCGGGUCUUGUACA